rnacentral:rRNA from 1 species
GACGAACGCUGGCGGCGUGCUUAACACAUGCAAGUCGAACGGAAAGGCCCUGCUUUUGUGGGGUGCUCGAGUGGCGAACGGGUGAGUAACACGUGAGUAACCUGCCCUUGUCUUUGGGAUAACUUCAGGAAACUGGGGCUAAUACCGGAUAGGAGCUCCUGCUGCAUGGUGGGGGUUGGAAAGUUUCGGCGGUUGGGGAUGGACUCGCGGCUUAUCAGCUUGUUGGUGGGGUAGUGGCUUACCAAGGCUUUGACGGGUAGCCGGCCUGAGAGGGUGACCGGCCACAUUGGGACUGAGAGACGGCCCAGACUCCUACGGGAGGCAGCAGUGGGGAAUAUUGCACAAUGGGCGGAAGCCUGAUGCAGCAACGCCGCGUGCGGGAUGACGGCCUUCGGGUUGUAAACCGCUUUCGCCUGUGACGAAGCGUGAGUGACGGUAAUGGGUAAAGAAGCACCGGCUAACUACGUG